rnacentral:rRNA from 1 species
AUUGAACGCUGGCGGCAGGCCUAACACAUGCAAGUCGAACGAGUGGCGGACGGGUGAGUAAUGUCUGGGAAACUGCCUGAUGGAGGGGGAUAACUACUGGAAACGUUAGCUAAUACCGCAUACUAUCGGAUGUGCCCAUAUGGGAUUAGCUAGUAGGUGGGGUAAAGGCUCACCUAGGCGACGAUCCCUAGCUGGUCUGAUAGGAUGAUCAGCCACACUGGAACUGAGACACGGUCCAGACUCCUACGGGAGGCAGCAGUGGGGAAUAUUGCACAAUGGGCGCAAGCCUGAUACAGACAGGCCGCGUGUAUGAAGAAGGCCUUCGGGUUGUAAAGUACUUUCAGCGGGGAGGCGUUACCCGCAGAAGAAGCACCGGCUAACUCCGUGCCAGCCGCCGCGGUAAUUC